GACGAACGCUGGCGGCGUGCUUAACACAUGCAAGUCGAACGAUGAAGCCCAGCUUGCUGGGUGGAAGAGUGGCGAACGGGUGAGUAACACGUGAGUAACCUGCCUAUCACUCUGGGAUAAGCGCUGGAAACGGCGUCUAAUACUGGAUACGACCUAUCACCGCAUGGUGGGUGGGUGGAAAGAUUUGUCGGGGGUAGAUGGACGUGCGGCUUAUCAGACUUGUUGGUGAGGUAAUGGCUCACCAAGGCGACGACGGGUAGCCGGCCUGAGGGGGUGACCGGCCACACUGGGACUGAGACACGGCCCAGACUCCGACGGGGGGCAGCAGUGGGGAAUAUUGCACAAUGGGGACAAGCCUGAUGCAGCAACGCCGCGGGAGGGACGACGGCCUUCGGGUUGUAAACCUCUUUUAGUAGGGAAGAAGCGAAAGUGACGGUACCUGCAGAAAAAGCACCGGCUAACUACGUGCCAGCCGCCGCCGUAA
rnacentral:rRNA from 1 species